UGGCGCUUGAGUUAGUCGAGAGAGUAGAGGAGGGAAGGAGGGGAACCAUGGGAGCCAGAGGGACCUCCACGCACACUACACCACACGUAUAUCUCAAGCGCCAUCCACGGCAUGCUCCCUGUCAUCACAUUGUGCCUUUUUAAAAGGUCGCCGAAUUGCGCAUACCAGUUGGAACAGCACAGUGUCGAAUGAAUUGAAGCAAAAAUGUAUCAGAAACUUCAGGAUGAGCCCUGGGGACCAAUUGGGCCUGCCAAGGGUGUGGAUGAUAAUGGACUCAACCAUCUGCACGCCAAAUCCCUGAUUUCUGCGACGGACAAGUCCAGACGGGAGCUUCCAGUAAAAGCAGCGGGAAAACGUUGCAAAUUGUUUCAUCAGGCGAAGUGCUGACGUCGGCUGAUUUGUUUCUGCUCCGGGUACGGAUACCAAACCCUUGAAUACCGCCCAACCCCCUACCCCCACCCCUCGACCCACCAACUCUACUGGCAACAUUUGACAUGUUGUUGUCGAACGUUUCAAGAUGUUUGGUAGGAAAUUUCCAUCAGAUCCGCAGCCACUUUUUGCCAAACAUGGCCAAGAUUUUUCCAAGAAGAAUCAAUGGAGCGGACGCUGCUGGUCUGCUUGCAAUAAGCACACGCAUGCAUGCACGCACGCACGCAUGCACGCACGCAUGCACACACGCCUGCGCGCACGUAUGCACACACAUUCACAAAGCACACACACUCACAAAACACAUACAUAUUCACACACAUUUUAUAGUCCAGAUCAAAUAAACUGAGGUCUCGACAACAUUCCUGACGACUGGGAAACGGCCGUCGUUGUGGUUCUACGCUUCAGGGAGGAAUGAAGAAACACAAGGGAUCCGGAUUCAAAAUGACAUGAAUGGAUAUUCUAUUAAAAUGAAUAAUAAUAAUAAUAAAAUCGGAAAAAAUACAAGUAUAUUACCCUAAAAAUAUUGAAUAAUACCAUGUGACCUUAUAAAAGAAGGGUUUAUUAAAUGUUAUUGUAUUUUUUAUUUGUCAUGGUAUUUGUCUACUUGUUGAUUUUAUUAGUAAAGGUAGAGAAGUCUUUGAUUUAAAUCAAAAUUUGGUGGUGUAAGUUCAAGAAAUAAUGUGAAAAAAUAAACAAGAUAUAAAUUAAAUAUCAAAUAAAAUGUAUUUAAAUUAGGUGGUUAUUAAGUUUUAAUGAAAAUCACAAAUAUAUUGAUACAAAAUGAGAAGAAAGUAAAAAUCAACUUACAGUAUUUUGAAAUGCAUACAAAUUAGAAAAAAGAAAAGGUGUAUUUUUAUUUUCAAUACAGAAUUUAAACAACUCUCAUAUUAGAGGUAAAUAUAAAACCAAAGUACAAAAAAUAAUUUAUUACAAAUACCUAAAUAUUCUGGAUAUUACACUUCAUUCAUAUAAUAAUAAUAAAUUAAAAAAAAAAAAAAAAAAAAUAAUAAUAAUAAAUUAUUCAUGCAUAAACUGUAUAGCCCCUCAAAGUGCAUGUGAUUAAAACAACUUUACUCGAGCCUUUCUGAGUGACAUACACGAUCUCUGAAGGCUAAUUAAAAGAAAGAAAAAAAAUCACUGACUGGCUCUGAAUGUGUCCUGUCAUGUUAUUGUCCAGAUUCCAUAAAUACAACGUCUGAACACACACAAGUAAUGCGUACAAAAAUAAUUAUUGAACAUGCCAAAAGAAAACCGAGAAAGUCAUGUCUAAUUCAGCCGUGAGUGUCAUCUGGUGUAAUUUCAAGGCAGGACAUGUUAAACUAACAAACCUUUUGACAACAAGAUUACAAUCAAUCACAACAGUUAAAUCUCAUUUAAAAACACACAAAAGGAAUCUUGAAUGCCUAAACACGCACACAGCACAUAUUAUAUCAACUCAGUAUGCCCUGCCCCGUGAGAAAUGUGAGUGGCAACGCUUUGCAGAAAUCUGAUUGGAUGCAGAUGCGAUACACUGUCAUUGCCUCCACAUCACAGGUGUCAAACUCAAGGCCCGGGGACCAGAUACGGCCCACCACAUCAUUUUAUGUGGCCCGCGAAGACAAAUUGUGCAUCAAAUUCGUGUGUCAUUACUGGAAUUGCAAAUUGUCUUCAUUGUCUUGUAUUCUUUCCAUUUCAUGCACAAAUUCAAAUGGUAUCAUUGGUUUGAUAAUAAACUACAGCUUUUGCAGUUCUGGAAGUUGUCUAUAAUGGCUUAAACUGACAUUGUCACAAAUCAUAUCUUGUCUGGUUCAUUUCCAUUUCUUUGUUUUGGAGCCACUUUGGAACGGGCAAUGCUCAUGAACUCACUGUGAGGAACUCAGUUCGAAUAAACCAUUUUCCCAA